GCCCAAAACCCAGCCCUAAUCACCCGCAUGAAACUCAACUAUAUUGACUCACAAACUAAAACAUUUUUUUACAUUUAGUAAAGGCGAUUGAAAAGUGUCUAGGAGCCUUAAAAAUAGUACCGCAAGGGAAAGGUGAAAUAAAAAUGAAAUAAUUUUAAAGCAAUAUAAAGCAGAGACUAAUCCUCGUACCUUUUGCAUCAUGGUCUAGCUAGUCUAAUCAAGCAAAAAGCAUUUUAAGUUUGACCCCCCGAAACUAAGCGAGCUACUUCGAAACAGCCUCAUGGGCCAACCCGUCUCUGUUGCAAAAGAGUGGGAAGAUUUCCAAGUAGAGAUGACAGAUCUACCGAGCUUAGAGAUAGCUGGUUAUUCAGGACAAGGAUCUUAGUCCUACCUUAAGUCACCCAAUAACCACCAAUAUACAAACUGACUUAAGAGCUAUUCAAAUAAGGUACAGCCUAUUUGAAAAAGGAUACAACCUAAACUACCGGGUAAUGAAAUAUAUUUGCGACCAAGUGGGCCUAAGAGCAGCCACCUUUUAAAAAGCGUUAAAGCUUAAUCGCUAUGUCUAACAAUCCCAAUAACACAACAAAACCCUCACCCAGUACUGAAUGAUUCCAUACUGAUAUGGAAAACCAUAUGCUAGAACUAGUAACAAGAAGAAGAACUUCUCUAAAAUACAAGUGUAAACCGAAAUGAACAAUUCACCGGUAUUUACCGCCAAUGAACACGCAGUAGCAACACACACAAGAAAAUCCUACUCACCUGGACGUUAAUCUUACACCAGAGUAUUUCUAGAAAGAUUAAAAAAUGGAGAAGGAACUCGGCAAACUAUUAACCCCGCCUGUUUACCAAAAACAUCGCCUCCCGACAAAAUAUGAGAGGUCCAGCCUGCCCAGUGACAAAGUUAAACGGCCGCGGUACCCUAACCGUGCGAAGGUAGCGCAAUCACUUGUUCUUUAAAUGAGGACUAGUAUGAACGGCAUCACGAGGGUUAUACUGUCUCCCCCAUUUAAUCAGUGAAACUGACCUCCCCGUGAAGAGGCGGGGAUAAAACUAUAAGACGAGAAGACCCCAUGGAGCUUUAAACUCAACACCAACUAUUCUAUUAAAUAUCAUACAAGCUGAAUAGAUCUGGCUGUUAGUUUUCGGUUGGGGUGACCGCGGAGUAAAACAAAACCUCCACGAUGAAAGGACCAAACCUCCUAAUCAUAGAGCGACAGCUCAAAGAAUCAACAAAUUGACAAAAAUUGAUCCAAUUCAAUUUGAUCAACGAACCAAGUUACCCUGGGGAUAACAGCGCAAUCCGCUUCAAGAGCCCCUAUCGACAAGUGGGUUUACGACCUCGAUGUUGGAUCAGGGUAUCCCAGUGGUGCAGCCGCU
rnacentral:rRNA from 1 species